rnacentral:sRNA from 1 species
AGGGCCGUCUUCCAACUGCGCAAGAGAAACAGGAACACAAAGUCAAAACCAUCAGGAAAAUGAAUGUGACACCUGAGAGGUGCCUGAAAAGGACAGGUGUGCUUUUCAGGAAGCCCUUUUCCCUCAGCGGCCUGAGCUUUGUGGACAACCCAGAUGUGGCUGGUUCUCCAAGGUUCUCUGCCUUCGCGUCCUGAUAGAAUCUUCAGAGUGUUUGUGGGAAGUGCACCGUUCUUGAACAUGAACUUUGUUGAUGACGUCGUCCCAUAAUGCCAAACGGCAGGACCUACCUGCAGACAUCAGUUGCUUGGAGUCCUCUUACUUACUCGCCAGAGUUUGAGGCAGUGAAAUACAUGCAUGUGUCUAAUGUGUACAGACAAAUCUUUGCUUGAUACUAUGCUACCACAAUACUCGGACAGACAACUUCUGCUAGUACACCUACCAGCAUGCAAUCCCUUGAGAAAAUCCAUCCAAGAACAUCUUGAUGUUAAUCGACACUGCAGCUCUCCACAUAAUUUUUGCUAAUACAAAACUCUGUGGAGGUUCUCAGGAUGCUUCAAAAACUCUAUGCCUGCCCAGCAGGAUAGAUAAAAUUCAUUUUUCAGUCUUUCAUAUGUUACAUCAUAGCACAGAGAAGGCUACCUUUCUACCCCUUUCCCAGUGAAUGCUGAAAUUCCUCUGGGAACAGGUGGGCAUUUGCAACGCGGAUUAAAAUGAAGCCCAGAGAGACUUUGUAACUGUGUC